rnacentral:misc_RNA from 1 species
CGGUUACUUGUUUGUUUAAGGGGAAUGAGGACAAAAAAGCAUCACAGAAAUUGCUUGCCAUUAAUACAUUAAUGUAACUUUCUACCUUCUGUGCCCGUUUGAUGUAUGGAUACAAAAUUACUGGCUGUGUUAUUUUAGGGAGUAGUAGAUCCUGGAGCUCGUUUUCUUGAAAAUGUCAAUUACUUUUGAUUUUACUGCAAGGCACAAUACUUAACAAUAUCAGUUACAGGUAUUUUAGUUUAUUUUGAUUU